rnacentral:rRNA from 1 species
GGUUGUUUUGUGCGGUAAGCGAAUGAUUAGCGUAAUUGGGGGCAAUUAGCCUUCGGACGAUUCUCAAACUUUCAAUGCGCAAGGGUGUUGCUGCUUAAUUGAGCUCCACCGGUAAAAACGUCGGCCCUGUGGGCCACUUUUGGUAAGCAGAACUGGCGAUACGGGAUGAACCGUAAGCAUGGUUAAGGUGCCAAACUACUCGCUUAUAGAUCCCACAAAAGGUGUUGAUUCAUCGAGACAGCAGGACGGUGGCCAUGGAAGUCGGAAUCCGCCAAGGAGUGUGUAACAACUCACCUGCCGAAUGAAUUAGCCCUGAAAAUGGAUGGCGCUUAAGCGGGUGACCGACACCAUGCCGUCUGAAAGAUAUAUCAGAUGAGUAGGAGGACGUGGUGAUCGUGGCGAAGUAUGUGUGCAAACACGUAUAGAACGAUCACUAGUGCAGAUCUUGGUGGUAGUAGCAAAUAUUCAAGCGAGAUCCUUGAAGGGCGAAGCGGGGAAGGGUUCCACGCUAACAUUGAUUGGGCGUGGGUGAGUCGUUCCUAAGUCGAGUGGCAAUUGCUAAGUAACGGCGAAAGGGAAGCGGGUUUACAUUCCCGCACACGGAUGUGGAGGCGGUGACGCUUUAUUGGGGCGAACACGCUGGCGAUGGCGCUGGGCAGAGUUGUCUUUUCUGUUUGACCGUUUGUAUAUAUGGUGUGGAGUCCGCUUGUCGGGAGAAACACAUAUAUACGGGCAGAGCGCCAGGGCUUAUCUGGCGUCCAGCUCGCCAUCGACGGCCCUUGAAACUUUGCCUGCUGAUUUUAAUAUCCACGCCGUGGCGUACCGAUCACCGCAUCAGGUCCCCGAGGUGAACAGCCUCUGCUCAAUAUGAAAAAUGCAGGUAAGGGAAGUCGGCAAAUUAGACCCGUAACUUUGGGAAAAGGGUUGGCUCUAGUGCUGCGUGGGAGUGGUUGUCAAGUUGUGGCGUGAUUGGAGCUGUUGAUCUUGCGCGAUAUUCGUAUUGUUCAGUCGACGGUACUAGUCAUACUGCUCUUGACGACGCCCACAGCAUGCAGCAAACUAGAACUGCAACGGGCAAAGGGAAUCCGACUGUUUAAUUAAAACAAAGCAUUGCGAGGGCCGUGGCC